rnacentral:lncRNA from 1 species
ACAUUAGGUGAUGAGGCAGUUAUUCAACAAAUUCAAGUAGUCAAUCCUCACAAUGCUAGUGCACAAAUGACUAGUCAUGAAGGGCCAUAGGUGCUUGUCAAUGAUGUUGUUGCUGCUUCGGGUGAGGUUGCUGAUAGAUCAUACAUGGUCAAUAAAGUUGAGGUUGUAGCUGAGCAAUCAAGCAACAUUAACCAAGGAAAAGCCAAGGAUCAACAGGUUACUAAAGUAACUUCUAAACCUACUGCUGCUAACAGGAAAGUACAGGAACUUGGCAAGGGAGAUGUUGCUACUGGAAUUAUUGGCAAGGGAGAUGUUAGUGCAAUUGAUGGAACAUCUGCUAACAAGAAGGUUGCUGAUAUGUUAGAAGCAGCUUCUCAACAUGGGCAACAUUCACAUGCUAAGGGUUGGUCAUUAGUGCAUCGAUCACCUAGAAAGAAGGUGUCUUCAGAUAAUAAAAAUCUGGAAUCAGGAGCAGAAACCUUUAGGUGUUCUAACUCGUUUGAUGCCCUGGUCUGUGCACAUGAACAUGGUGAGAAAGAUUUGUAUCAUAAAGAAAUAAGUGCAAGUUCAAAAAAUAGGCAAGAGAGGUCUCCGGGCAGUACAAAAAACCAGCAGAAUUCUGGUGUUCCAGUAAAUGCAUCAAAAGACAUUGUUCCAGUUGUGGAGGAGCUAACGGGCAAACAAGCACAUAGCUCCAAUACUCCGACGUUGCAUUUUUAAAUUAUCAAGAAUGCCCAGAAUGCAAUGAUGUUGCAUACUACUAUGGUUAAACAACCAUUGGUCACGUUGAACACCUCUGUGUUUGAAGUUCCCUCACAAUCAAGGGAGUCGUUUGGUGAAUAUGGGGGUGAGUCUAGGCAGUUGAUGUUGUCCACUGGAAAUAACAACGAAAUUAUACAAGCAAAUGUGAGGGAGAUGGUUAUUAAAUCCAAAUUUUUGGCUGACCAAUGUGAGGAGGAUGAAGAUGAGGACUGGGGUGUUGAAAUUGCUGAGGAAUCGACUGAUGUUACUGAUCAAGAAAGUGCAGAUGAAGAUGUGCUAUCAGUUGCCUCACCAACACUGCCAAAAACAUAUGCAAAACUCAAAAGCAAGCUGAAUUUGAAUGCCCCAGAAUUUGUUCCCAGAAAUUCUCCAAUAAUGCCUAAGCCUGGACAGCAGCAACAUAUUAAAUCAACUGCUGGGCAGUAACAUGUUGGAACAAGCAUGCCAGGGGGUACUUCGAUGAAAAAUGCAGUAACGCCCAACACUGGGGCAGCAGCAGUUUCUUACAAACACUCCAGCAGCUGCUUGUGUGGAUGAUCAAAAUGCAGCAAUAACGUCAAUCUCUGGGCAGCAGCAACAGCGUGAAGGUACUCCAGCUAUAUCGUUGGAGGACAGAAUGCUUUUGGACGCAUAGGUAAAUUCUAAACCUCUUCUUUCUUUAACUCCAUCAUAAGCAGUUAGCACUGGACAGGGGGUUAAGAACAGGAAAAACA